rnacentral:lncRNA from 1 species
GUAUCAGAGGCUGUUUGGUCGAAGUCCAAGGCAUGAGGAGUAUUUUUAUGCAAAUCCUCUUCCAGGGUGCUUGUGCAGAAGAAACACACAGGAUCAAGUGGCAUGAACCUUACAUACGAAUAGACUGUUAUCAUAUAUUGAACUUUCCUCCAACCCAUUGACAUACACCAAACAGUGAAAAUCCGGGUAAACUGACAGCAAAAAGACAAGUUUAUGUAGUUUUCCAUCUUACAUGAGGAUACAAGAGGGAACACUCACUGAAAUGUGCAUUUUCAAAAGAUGUUUAUUCAGGUUUUAAAAUAGAACAGGCAAAGAUAUUCAAAGAGGAUACGUGUUGUACCACAGAGUAUAUAAUUAGCAGAUUUGAUGAGUUUUUAGUGUAUGUUUGUAUUUACUCCAUAGUCCACAUGUAAAGCCUCUCAUGUAUGAGAUUCUUCUGGGAGCCUCCGACACUUGGUUUGUCCUCCAGAUGUACAGCCUUAAAUCUAAAAAUUAACUUUAUUCAUUUAUUAUGCACAAUAAUCAUUAGUUGUAGCGGUAGUACUAUGCCCAGUUUCUCUUGUGAGGUGAGGUGUUUCUCUUGUAUUCAUAGGCUCAUCCCUUGACACCUCUAUGAUAUCAGCCUCUUUCCAUGCCGUGUUUAUCACCUCCUUUAUUUUAUCUCUGGAAGCCCACAAUGACAAUGCCAAAUUGAGAUCGAAGAACACUUUGAUUCCAAAUUUCUUGGACAGCUCAAUGGCUCCGAAGAGCGUGUCAUGCAUUAAGGGGGUUUAACAGGACUUCUGAAUUGAAUUGAAACAUUCUAGCCUGUGUAAUUGCCACAUAGAUUAGAUCUGAAUAAAGAGGAAAAUGUUUUUUUUGUUGCCAGCGUGUGAACCUGAACGGUGGAUUCUGCUAAAAAUGCUUACUUGAAACAGUUUGGAAGAUGAUCUCACCACGAUUGCGAAAGAUAUAGUGAUUGUGAAAUAUACUUGAUGAACUGUUCGUUGCUGUUUUCCGGUUUUUUUUAUCUCUCUGAUAUCAGUCUCACACCUCUAUAGUUCAAUUGGGGACGGAAAGUUCAUAACGAGUAGUAGUUUUAAAGCAAUCUCUCACCAGGAUCAACUCGGGUGUUUGCAUCAGUAACCCAGAAAUAUUUUAUCUUGAUAACGAGCUGAGGCUCAGCCUACCCACUCUCAUCAAUGGUGUGACUCAUCUUAAGAUUAUUCAUAAAACUCUCCAAUACAUUUUAAAAAAAUACCUCAGUAUUUAUUAUGCAAUGAAAAAAAUCUUCAGAUUAGUUCUUAAUGUUUGAAAUUAUCAUGCAAUUCCUAAUCCUAAGUUCCUAAAUUUACUAAUGCAAUUCCUAAUCCUAAGUUCCUAAAUUUACUCACGCAAUAAUCCUAAGUUUCUAAUUAACAUCAUAGCUAAUGCUGGUACGCAGACGCAGCAGCUCAUGCAACGAGGCCGACAUACUCGAGCUCCACGGAGCCUAACCAGAGCUUCCCCUUCAUCUCCGCCACGUCGCUCAGCGUGACGCCCUUGGCCGCCCCCUUGGCCAGCCGAUGUGGGACUAAAGCCGGAGCGCUGACUACCAGUCCCUGACAUCCCCCACCCCCUUGGGAAGCCCCCCAAGGCAUGGGCCAAACCGGGCUCUGAUACCAGAUGUCAGCGUCCAACCCCCGGUCCAGCUCACACUCGACAGCUUCGGGCGUUCAUGCGCUCGUGGGCCGGCCCAGCCAAGAGAGCCCACCACUCACAUCCCAAAAGCCAGGCUGAUGGGAGGAGGGAGACUCUCCCUUUUAAGCUGCCCACAGCCCCUUGGCUAGCCAGCCGAUGUGGGACUAAAGCCGGAGCGCGACAUAAACCUCCUGGGAUACGUCGCGCUGGAGUCGGUGAAGUAGACGUCUCCGGUGGACUGGUCGACGUCGAGACCGUUGAUGAAGUGGAACGGGGCGCCGCCCGCGCCGGUCGCGAGCACCUCGGCCUCGCCGCCGCCCGGACCGACCCUCAUGAGCCCCAGGUAGGCGUCGGCGAUGUAGAGGUCGCCGGUCUUGGUGUGGAACUGGAGGCCCAGCGGGCGGCCGCACAUGCUCUCGAUCUCCUCCGACGGCACCACUCCCGCCGUGCACAGGGGUAUCUUGCGGUAGUUUACGCUGUGCGCGAACGUAGUCCAGCCGACGGUUGUGCCGCCCCACUUGAGGACGCGGCCGUCCGAGACACCGGCGUAGGGCCCCUCGCCCUUGCCGUCGAAGGCGAGGCUCUCGGCGCCGCGGAGGCCGCUUGGUAAAGGAAGCUGGAAGCUCCAGCGCGUGUCGGUGGUCUUGAUCUGUGCGGCGGCACACGGCCGGGCGAAAAGGGCUAGGGCUAGCACGACCAAGGCGAGGAGCCACGUCGCUAGAUUGCUCCGACGCCCCAUGCUGCUAGCUAUAUCUUCCUCGCGAUGAUCUUUCUAAUGUGCGAGAUGGAGAACCUGCAGCCCCUACCUUGGAUGGAGAACAACCCUCCAUAUGGCAUUACAUAUAUAUAGUGCCGGCUCAAGGGAUUCCAGGUUUGUUACAACCCAAUCUAAUCUAAUCUACUAUUUCUACGGUCCUAUCACGACUACUCGGACUUUUAGUUCAGGAACAAACGACUUUACAACUUUAUAGCUAAAUAUAAGUUGCUCAUAUUUUGUUUGUCCAUUUAAAUUGAGUUGAAAUUCAAAACCCAAAUUGUAAUUUGAAGUUUCAAAAUAAAAUAGGAAAAUAAAAAGCAAGCAGGAAAUAAAAUGAAAAGAAGAAGAAUAAACUUACCUGUUACUAGUUACUACCUCGGUCAGUUCUACCGUCGGCCCAUUAACCACUCACGCCUGCACAACCGAUCUCGUCUCCCUCGGGUGUUAGCACCGGUGCAACCGAUACAGGGACCCCACUGGUCGGGCUCUCAGUCGCACGGAUGUCUCUAAUCAGUUACUGGAGGCUGGGCCAGCUCGCUCAGUAACGGAAAGCCUCGUACUUGUUGCGUGGAUAUUCAGAAAGAAUAGUGUCUAAAUUUAAACCAAUAGUAGAUGUGUACUCUGUAGUAGGAUUGAAUUGUCGGAUAUGUACAUUUCAUCAUUCUUCUAUUUUCGUGAAACAUGUCACUUCCUAAUCUCUUUGCUACGCAAAUGCGCAAGAACACUCUGCAUACUAAAUACUUUGGCUGACACACCAUGUGCUCGUUCCUUGCUUUCGAUCAGCGCAGGAGUAACACACCUAAUUAUAUAUAUGUUUAAGAGAUCCUGAAUAAUUAUUUUCGAACAAUGAAAAGAGACUGCAUGGAAAUUUUACUAUUAAUAAGCUGACCUCUGUAAGGUUCUGCAUCACCAAGUAACAAAUACAUCUAUCGCUCACGCGCAGCGAUUUCUGCUUGGCUAGAGCCACGAGCUGAUGUGAACUACGCAAUCUGGGAUUUCUCUGCCACAAUUUUUUUUGCCUGUCAGAUUUUGAAGCACUUCUUUGAGCUCAAUAUGUAUCGAGUCUUACAGAACAGGUACAAAUUUGAGUUCGCCAGCCUGUAGGCAAGGCGACCUUGACCCCUUUGGAUGUCAGGAGUUAUUCGAGUUAAAUGCUUAUUCUCAUAUGCUUCAACGCACACAUACUCACAUGUAUAAUUUAUAAGCUUCUAUGAACAUGCACAUGCAUGAUCAACAUCUUCGAAAACUGGGUCGAUAAUUUUUUAAGAUGGAAUUAAUGAAGUUAUUAUAGACGUCUCGCUGUCGAUAAUAGUAUCGUUUAUCACUAUAAGCGUAAAAACCGUUAGAUCAUGAUAUAUUCGCUUAUAGAGUGAAUUGAAUUUUCGGAGGGUCAGAUUAGGAUGUACCGGCUCUUUCGCUGCUGCGUGCUGCCACUUUUGGUUGUUCACGCUCUCACGCAACACAUGAUUAAAAGGAAAGGCCCCUCUCUACGGCCCACGUAUCAACAACAAGCUCUACCAUAUGCAUGACAUUUGUGCUAUUUAGAACCACACCGCUGGCUCACAUGAGAAGACACCAGCUUAAAAAUCUAUUCCUCAGUGCCACACUCGCCGAGCAGCUAGCGUCUGCUUGUAACCCGAGCGGGGGCAAUAAAGUGGUGUGGAUGCCAAUUGUGGCGCUUGGACCCGGGCCUGGUACUGCAAUCUGCGGCCCGCCCGUUCCAAGUUGGCAGUUGGGUUGUGACCGCUUUGGCGAAGGCCAUGGCGUCCCAACCUCUAGAGCGGCGGGCAAUGCGUGAGGCUGGUUUCACAGAGCAGCGAAUACCAUCCGCUUCCAAUGGUGGAAGGAUAACGAGCCACUGCACUCCAGGCCCACCUAGGCUCAAGCACUCUUUCUGGCAUACCACCAUUUUUGUUUUUUGGCUUGUCUUGCACACCUACUCGUUUGCCACUGCAGCCCAUUUGUCCAACCUGCAGCGUCUAGCAACAACCAUCAUCAAUCGAUUAUGUAGCCGAUUUGAACCUCUAGGCACUGGUCCUCUGGACGUUCGAUACAUUCCACAUGUAACAUGUUCUUGCCAUUUUGUACAUACUAGUGUGUUCUGGUUGAGUUUACAGUGUCUGCAGUAAGCCAAUUCUUUUGGAUCAAAAGCCAUUAAACGCUCUAGAAGAUGAAGAGCCAAAGGAUAGGAACUUGUAAAGCUCAAGUAUCUACUGUCCUCAUUUUGAAUCUAUAGAUAUCUUAGACAACAUCAUGGGGCAGAUGAGGAGGGAAACACACCUAACAACAGUGCUUGGCUCCAUGCCCACACAUCGGCAGCAUGGCACGAGUGGGGAAGAAACCGGGGCUCUGGUCUGGUCAUGCGUUGCUAAGGGGGGUAGGUAUUUUAGCGUCAUAGUGUGUACCAACCUGCCUGGUAGCUCGCAUUGCUCAUGGCGGCUGUCGCGGGCCUCCACGUUUGUUGCCCCGGUAUGGGAGGAUGGGUGAAGGCGGCACACAGAGAGGUAUGUGAUGGGCAGAAUGGCGCUGAGGACAUCGCAUGUGGUCCCCUCGAAUCCCUCGGACGGACGACAACAUUUGAGGAGAGCAAGUGAGGUGGGUCCUGGGGGGUGGCGGGUGACGACGUUUGAGCGGCGUGGAGAUGGAAGCCGCUUACCUGGACUGCGGGAUCACGAUUCAAAAGCGCUGGCGGUUGUCGCUAGAGCCGGGGGAGGGGGGAGGGGGCAGGACACGACGCCAGGAGCCCCUCACAGAGCGUGAGCUAGAGGAAGAGAGACGGAGGAUGAAGAGAGAAAGCGAGGGCAAGCGAGGAGAGUAGCCUGGAAAUCUCUAAAGGCGAUAAAAACCACGGGCGCACGGGAGAGAAUGCGGGGAAAAUGAACCAACGAUCCACAAUCGAAUGACUAAAAUUUUUUUGGGUGACGUAGAUGGGCUCAUAGGCGUCGUUUCCAUCAGUCUUUAAUAAUAAGGAAAUACAACCAAACAAGUUGGUUACGAUCAGGGACCGACCAUUACAAUCGUAGGCAUCUCCUCUUGGCUAUAUAACCUGAGCACCCCCUCCUCAUCCAUCUUGUGCCAACGCCAAGGAGCCAAAUGUCACAAUGACCCAAGGAGUUGAGAGUGCCACCGUGAACCGAGUGCCGAACGAGAGGGAGAGAAGGUCCACGCCGCAGUUUCGGAUCUACACUGUCUCUCGGGUGGUGUGCGUGGCUAGCCCAGACGGGAGGAGUGGUCGGAGAGCAAGAAGAGUCGUCACCAGAGUCACAAAUAGAGGUUCCUACUUUUCAUCCCUAACUUCCCUAACCUAGGUCAGUUCUACCGCCGACCCAUUAACCGCUGAUGCCUGCACAACCGAUCUCACAUCCCUCGCGUGUUAGAACCGGUGCAACCAAUAGGCGGGCCCCACUGGUUGGACUCUCAGUCGCGCGGAUGUCUCUAAUCAGUCACUGGAGGGUGGGCCAGCUCGCUCAGUAACGACCUCACACGCAGCACACGGGUCACAACCUAUCGGACGCUUCUCUCUCCUGUUGUUCAAGGACAUGUAUAAAUACAUAUGUAUUGAUCUAUAAAGAUUACACACGGUUCACAUUUUCACUUUCACCAGUUUACUUUCACUAGUUUACUUUCACACGUCAUCGGCACUUGCUUUCACCAAAUAGGAGGAAACGCCAAAGAGGACAACCAGGAAGAACAAGGCAAGAACACCGACAACUAUCGGGUACGCGAUGAUCUACAAAGAUCUUUAUGUUGCCCUUCUUACCUUCAUCCUUCGAUUUUUGAACGGUGGCCAUCGUCGCNNNNNNNNNNNNNNNNNNNNNNNNNNNNNNNNNNNNNNNNNNNNNNNNNNNNNNNNNNNNNNNNNNNNNNNNNNNNNNNNNNNNNNNNNNNNNNNNNNNNNNNNNNNNNNNNNNNNNNNNNNNNNNNNNNNNNNNNNNNNNNNNNNNNNNNNNNNNNNNNNNNNNNNNNNNNNNNNNNNNNNNNNNNNNNNNNNNNNNNNNNNNNNNNNNNNNNNNNNNNNNNNNNNNNNNNNNNNNNNNNNNNNNNNNNNNNNNNNNNNNNNNNNNNNNNNNNNNNNNNNNNNNNNNNNNNNNNNNNNNNNNNNNNNNNNNNNNNNNNNNNNNNNNNNNNNNNNNNNNNNNNNNNNNNNNNNNNNNNNNNNNNNNNNNNNNNNNNNNNNNNNNNNNNNNNNNNNNNNNNNNNNNNNNNNNNNNNNNNNNNNNNNNNNNNNNNNNNNNNNNNNNNNNNNNNNNNNNNNNNNNNNNNNNNNNNNNNNNNNNNNNNNNNNNNNNNNNNNNNNNNNNNNNNNNNNNNNNNNNNNNNNNNNNNNNNNNNNNNNNNNNNNNNNNNNNNNNNNNNNNNNNNNNNNNNNNNNNNNNNNNNNNNNNNNNNNNNNNNNNNNNNNNNNNNNNNNNNNNNNNNNNNNNNNNNNNNNNNNNNNNNNNNNNNNNNNNNNNNNNNNNNNNNNNNNNNNNNNNNNNNNNNNNNNNNNNNNNNNNNNNNNNNNNNNNNNNNNNNNNNNNNNNNNNNNNNNNNNNNNNNNNNNNNNNNNNNNNNNNNNNNNNNNNNNNNNNNNNNNNNNNNNNNNNNNNNNNNNNNNNNNNNNNNNNNNNNNNNNNNNNNNNNNNNNNNNNNNNNNNNNNNNNNNNNNNNNNNNNNNNNNNNNNNNNNNNNNNNNNNNNNNNNNNNNNNNNNNNNNNNNNNNNNNNNNNNNNNNNNNNNNNNNNNNNNNNNNNNNNNNNNNNNNNNNNNNNNNNNNNNNNNNNNNNNNNNNNNNNNNNNNNNNNNNNNNNNNNNNNNNNNNNNNNNNNNNNNNNNNNNNNNNNNNNNNNNNNNNNNNNNNNNNNNNNNNNNNNNNNNNNNNNNNNNNNNNNNNNNNNNNNNNNNNNNNNNNNNNNNNNNNNNNNNNNNNNNNNNNNNNNNNNNNNNNNNNNNNNNNNNNNNNNNNNNNNNNNNNNNNNNNNNNNNNNNNNNNNNNNNNNNNNNNNNNNNNNNNNNNNNNNNNNNNNNNNNNNNNNNNNNNNNNNNNNNNNNNNNNGAAAUUUGAGAUUCGAUUCUUAAAAUUCUUCAGUAGCAGCUUGUGUCAGGAUUUUUUCCAAUGUUUUAGUACUUGGAAAUGAUUCAAUAAAUAUUUCUUUAAAUAUGAUAUUUAUUGUCAUGUGUUCUAUUAUGCAUUCCUUAAAAUGCAAACUAAAAAACAUAUUCAUUUCAAUUAUACCCAUAGUGGUUUAAUACGAGCAGAAUUAAUUUUUUGAUAGAACAUAAAGAAUAAUCAAUAUUCAUCUCAAUUAAGUUAUUCAAAACUUAAUACUAGCAAGAAUAUGUAUUAUUCGAUUCCGUACGCAAUUGAUGCUACCCAUAUAUUCAUCUUAUUAAGUUACUAAUAGUACAUAAUUUCAUCUGAAAAUUUUAUAUUAGAUAUACUACAUCAUAACAUCAUAAUGAAAUUUUCGAUCUCUUGCAUCACUUUGCAAUUGAGACCUUAAACUAUGAUUCAUCUAUGCAAUAUCGCAUUAUAUUGCAUAUUAUUCAUCUCAAUUGGGUUUUUCUCUUAAAUCCAAUACGAGCAAGAAUACAUAUAUGUUUGAACACCACACAUAUUACAACACACCCAUGAUGAUUAUUAAUGAAAUUCUCUGGUUGCUUGUGUAGGAUCAUGGCCCGCGAGUUCAAAGAACUUGCUCUUGAUGGACACAACUAUCCUACUUGGGCGUUGGAUAUCAAGAUUAGCUUAGCCUCAAAGAAUAUUCUGAGUGCAUUACUCCCUCCAACGAGAGGGUUGAACCACUACAUGAUGCUUAUAAGUACAACACUUUGUACAUUAUAAGACAUCACCUCCAUCCUGAUCUACUUCAAGCAGAAAAUCAUGAUGAGCUUAUGAUAAAAAAUCAUAAGCAAUAUCGUGUUGGAGCUGCUCCUAUGCCAGAAAACCAUCCCAAGAACUCUGAUAAUUCAAAUAAGCGCAAACGCAACAAGCGUACGAAUAAGAAAAAUACAAAGGCUCCGAGGAAAGACACCCCCCACUUCCAAGCAAGAGAAGUGUAAGAAGUGUGGAUGCUUGAACCAUCCUACUAAAAAGUGUUUCAUUCCUUGUCAUUUAGUGGCACUGUACCAGCAAUCUCUUAAGGGAAAAAAUGUUGAAGGACAAGGAUAUGAAGCUCACUUCACCACCCCACCUAACUUGAAGGAUGGAGCUGGUUGCUCAAGCAUGGCUACAAUGGAACCAAGCACGACCAACCCUCCGCUUCUGACCAACACCGAAUACAUGAACUUGGACAAUGCCAUCAUCGAAUAUGCUUCGAGUGAUGUGUUUGGAUACCUUUACUAGGAUCCUCAUGCUUCUACCAGAUAUCAUCUAUUUGUAAGUCUAUGAGUGUGUGCAACAAGUGUGUUGUAAUAAGUACCUAGACCUUGGAAUUUGUGUGUAUAUUCCACACUCUACUGUAUAAUUAUGUAUGUACUUAUAUGUAUAAUGAAGUGUCCCAAUCCUCUGGGACUCAAAUGUGAUACAAUUACUAGUCCCAGGAGGCUAGUAAACACAUUUAUAUAUCAGAUGAUUCCAGAUCUGCUUAAACAAGACAAACCUAUAAAGGUGGCGAUCAACUUUAAGAGUUGGUCCACAACUCAGGACAUAUCAUCAGAGUGGGGCUAAAGCAGCCCGAUAUACGCAGCGAAGCAAAUCAGCGGUCCAACAGCCACAUGCAAGGCUGGGAACAGGCGUAACUCUUACCCGAUCAGCGAUCUCGUUCUCUAAAAAGCAACAAAUAAGCAAGAGUGAGUACUUACGUACCCAACAGCCCACCUUCCCCCAUGGAAUGGAGAAAUCAGAUAUAAUGCAUGGAGUAUGUGGAGCUCAUGAUAUUUUGCAGAAAGAGCAAUAUUUGAUGCAGGGUUAUUUUGUAAAACAUUUUAUAUUUUUCAAAGCACGUCCUCUCCCAAAGGAGCAGGAAGUUUUUCAAUAUAGAACAAAAUCCCCUGGACUAAACCAUCCAGGUAUCUCAGCAGUUUCCCACUGGUUUUCAUUUUCAAAAAUAGCUACUGGACUUCCCGUCCACCAUAGCUCACAGCUCAACCGUCAGAACUUUUAAAAACCACUUUUCAAAAGCAUUUUUGGAAAACAAAACACUAAUUGUCAAAUCCAUGCCAUAACUCAUUCAUAUCCGUGGACGCGGACUAUUUGAAUAGGUUUUUAACUCUGCGCAGAGGUGUACACUUUACCCACUAGUCCGGUUUCUGCAAUCUCACCGUCGUGAGAUCCAAAUGCCGAAACUCUCUCCUUCCUUGCACGUCCAUACCUUAGCGAUUAUACCAGAAGGAACAAGGCCACCGCCAUGUCCAAACCGGACAAAACAUUCCCCUUUCUUAUCCUCCCGGUGCUCACCAGCCGUCAUAACCCUGGGGUUCGGACCGUGCAAGUUCAGAUCAAGCGACUGCCCAUACAGUAUCGAGUGGUUAUACUUGAUAAGAGUAUAGGUAAGCAGUGAUGACAAACCGGUCCUCAGGCGAGAGGGACAAUCCUUCAUGCUCACACCUAACCUGGCUGAGCCAUCACCUUAGGCCCUCCCCUAAACCAGGGAGUCUCUGAUCAUCCCGCUCAAGGGUGAUAAGGGUGACAACCCUUCAUCAUAUCCAUUUUGAAAACAUUUUCUUUUGAAAACUCACACCUUUUCUCAAAUCAUUUGUAACAAAAAUAUCAAGGAGCAUAAAGAUUAAUUGCGGCAAAGUUCUAAGGCAGGGUGGCCAUAAUAACUUGUCUCUUAACAGAAAAAUCAUAUCAUGCAUAAAAUAACAGGCUGAGGGUUGUGGUUGAAAAGCAUAGGUAAUUUAUGCAUCAAAGGGAUCCAGUGAGCUUGCAGUGCUUAACCGGCGAAAGGGUGAGAGCUCGCGGAACUGGCUUCUGGCUCCACCGUUUGCCGUAGGCUUACAGAUCUGGCCUUCACGAGACAGCACAAACGCUCCAAUAACUAUGCAGCAUGAACAAGAAAACAUACAAACCAAUAAUUAUAUCAACAAAUAUUUAGUAUAGUGGUCAGAAUGGCAAUAUAUGGAUGGGUAGAGUCUUGAGCAGAAUCUAUGUCAUAUGGUGUUGUGAUAUUACUCGUGGUGGAGUGGAGGUGCUUACCAGGAGGGUGGAUUGGAGGCGAAGCGACACUGUGCGUGCAGCCGACAGAGCGGAGUAACUGAGUGGGUGGGGUGUUUGCCUUGGUUGAGGGUGUUGAGUGUGUGGAGAGGGAGAGGGUAAGUGGGUCUAUUUAUAGCUGGGUGUAUAUGGUGUAGUACAGUAAAUUUCACUGUUGGUGAGAAUAGUGACGAAUGAAUCGUCUGAGUUAGUCUGAACAGAAAAAUUAUAGGGAGAAUAUGGGACAAGAGUAUUUUGAGAGUUUUCUAGAAUAUGAACCAUGCUUAAGGGAUGACAUGGUUGAAUAGGGAAUAAUUUGAUAAGAAUUUAGAAACAAGAAUUAUUGGAAUCUGAGUUUGGAAGCCUGGUUCGAAAGAAUCUCAAAGUUAAGCGUGCUCAACUUAGAGAAAUCUAGGAUGGGUGACCAGAUGGAAAGUUCUUACUAGAAGGAAAAUCAUAGUCACCGGAGUUUGUAUGACUGGAAUAUUGGUUUGGCAGGUCUUAGGUGAGCUGGACAACAUGAUGGAUGAGCAGUUGAAUAUUUGGGUGAUAGGAUGGGCGAUGAAUAGCAACGAUGAAUAGUAAGGAAGAAAUAGUAACAAUGAGCAGUAACGAAGAAAUAGUAACAAUGAAUAGUAACGAUGAAUAGUCCAUAUGAACGGACGAUGAACGAUGAAUAAUGACUAUGAACGAAUGACGAACGAUGAAUAGGGACUACGAACGAACGAUGAACGAUGAAUAGGGACUAUGAACGAACGAUGAAUAGGGACUAUGAACGAACGAUGAACGAUGAAUAUUGACUAUGAACGAACGGACGAACGAUCGAAUGAUCGAACGAAAGAUCGGAAUUUCGGCAGCAUAACGGCUGAACAAAGAUUAUUUGGAUGAACAAACGGAUGAACGAUCGAUCGAACAACCGAACGAACCAUGAACGAUCAGACGAACGAACGAACAAACUAAGAACAGGUGGACGAACGAUCGAACGAUCCUUGUGCUUGUGUGGGAGUGGGAAUGGGGGGAGAGUUGCCAUGAAAUGGCUUGGUAUGGCUUGAGGGGAGGCCCUUGCCCCUCUAUUUAUAGGCUAGGUGGGGGAUGAGGGGGAGGAGGCGAGGAUUAGUGGGAGGAUGCGAGGAUUAGUGGGAGAUAAGCAUGUAUUAGGCAUGUAUAAGUGAAAUUAGCUUGUAGAGCUCACAGUAUGGCACCGGAGGCGUACGUAUACGUAUGAGCAUGAGGAUAAUUAUGAAGAAAAUAUUUGCAGGGACUGUAAAAAUGAUUCUGAAGGUAUUUCUCAGGAGGAAAAUAUUUGGAGAAUUUUUGGUGGAAUAUUUGGCAGUAUUUCUGGAAAGAAUUUGAGGGGGAUCACUCGGGAAAUAUUUGUAGGAUAUUUUGAGGAGGAUUUUGGAGAGAAUAUAGACCACUAUUUUUUAUUUGUUGAUAUCAACUCGCAAACAAACAUUUUGAAAUGAAAUUUAAAAUUCAUUUUGAAUUUAGAGCAAGUUUGAGAAAUUUUAAGAUUUGAAUUUUUGGGUGCUACAUAUAAUUAAUUGAGUUCUCGCAAUUCUUGAUUAUAUAGAUUAUGCGGAAGUCAAUCCAAUGGAGGAAGAAUUAUGCCUUGUAGAUAGUGGUACCACCAACUCUAUUCUUCGCGAAACAAAAUAUUUCCAAACUCUCACAAGGAGGCCAUGAAAUGUUUUGGCAAUCGCUGGGCGCGAUGCGAAAAUAGUUGGCUCUGAACGAGCGACUAUUACACUCCCUAUGGGUACACAAGUCACUAUCGAGUAUGCUUUAUUGUACCCCGAUUCAACUCGUACCCUUCUGAGUUUUCGAUAUAUUCAGAAAAGUGGUUUACAUAUUUCUACUCAUACAGAAAAUAAUGAGGAAUUUCUCGUCAUUUCCAAACCUUCUGAAUAUGGCGCUAACAUUCUGGAAAUAAUACCUUCACUACCAUCCGGAUUGUACUACACAUACAUAAAACUAGUACCUCAUGUUACGUACAACGUGAUUUUUCAGAAUGUCGAUUCAUUCAAGUCCUGACAUGCACGUCUUGGUCACCCUGGAAUAGAGAUGAUGCAGAAAAUCACAGGUAAUUGCAUUGUUCAUGAUUUAAAGUGUGCUAAAUUCCCUAAACCAUUUGAUUUUAUAUGUACAUCAUGUGCAACGGGAAAGCUAAUCUUAAGACCAUCUCCUCUUGAGAUUCAUGCUGAACCACUCAAGUUCCUUGAACGAAUUCAAGGUGACAUUUGUGGACCCAUACAACCAUUAUCUGGACCGUUUAGAUAAUUCAUGGUAUUAAUAGACGCAUCUACACGAUGGUCACAUGUGUGCCUUCUGUCUACACGUAACCAUGCUUUUGCUAAAAUCAUGACGCAAGUCAUUCGAUUGAAAGCACAUUAUCCUGAACAUCAAAUCCAGAAAAUCCGCCUAGAUAAUGCGACUGAAUUCUCUUCUAAAGCAUUCAAUGAUUAUAGUAUGGCCCAUGGAAUACACAUUGAACAUUAUGUGCCUUAUGUACAUACUCAAAAUGGUUUAGCUAAAUCUCUUAUUAAGAGGAUCAAACUCAUCGCAAGACCUUUACUUCAUGAAUGCAAUUUACCUACUUCUUGUUGGGGUCAUGCCGUUUUACACGCUACUGAUCUUAUUCAACUUCGCCCAACUGCAUAUCAUACCACAUCCCCGUUGCACCUAGUACGAGGAAAUCCUCCAAAUAUAUCCCAUCAACGGAAAUUUGGAUGUGUGGGUUACACCCCUGUAUCACCGCCUCAGCGAACAGCUAUGGGACCUCAUAGGAAAUUAGGCAUCUAUGUGGGAUAUCAAUCCCCAUCGAUCAUCAAAUACCUAGAGCCCCUUACAGGGGAUUUGUACACAGCUCGUUUCGCUGAUUGCAUCUAACGAGGACCAUUCUCGACAUUAGGGGGAGAAUUCAAGUAUCCUAAUGAACGCCAGGAAAUCAAUUGGGAUGACAAAUCCAUCCUGACCACAGAUCCUCGAACCCAGGAAUCUAAACUUGAAGUUCAGAAAAUUAUAGAAUUGCAACAUUUUGCUAAUAAUCUGCCUGAUGCAUUUACUGACUAUAAUGGUGUCACAAAAUCCUUGAAUCCUGCUGUUAAUGCGCCUAGUCGAGUGGAGGUACCAAGAAAAACCAUUCAACCAUCUUCUCAACCGAAGAGGGGGAGGGCUGCUAAGCAGGAUAAUGCUUCUACUAAGCGUCAAAGGAAAGAGAGGAACAUACAAUCCUCCAAAUCAGUAAAUGAAAGUCAACCACCAGUUGAUGGACAUCGAGUGGAUACUGUACAUCCACAAACCAACACUCAUGUGCACAAUUCAGAUGUUGUUGGUACAUCGGAACACCACGUAUCUACUCUUCAUGUGAAUCAAGAAGACUUUCAUGGGGUACAGGAGAUUUCCAUUAAUUAUACUAGUUCUGGAGAAUUGUAUGAUCGUAAAAAUACAGUCGUCAAUUCAUGUUUCUCAUAAAUCAUAGCUGGUAACCUUCUAUCUGACCUAGAUCCUAAAUCCAUGGCAGAGUGUCAACAACGCUCGGACUGGACCAAAUGGAAGGAAGCAAUUAACUCUGAAUUAUCCUCACUAGCAAAAAGAAAGGUAUUCACCUCUGUGAUACCUACACCUCCCAGAAUCCAUCCUGUUGGAUUCAAAUGGGUUUUCACACGGAAACAGAAUGAGAACAAUGAGGUUGUGAGAUAUAAAGUGAGAUUAGUUGCUCAAGGGUUUACCCAAAGACCAGACAUUGACUACAAUGAGACAUAUUCUCCUGUUAUGAAUGGAAUAACCUUCCGGUAUUUAAUUUCAUUGGCAGUACAAAAACGUCUACUUCUGCAGUUGAUGGACGUUGUGACCGCAUAUCUUUAUGGGUCACUAGAUUCGGACAUAUACAUGAAAGUUCCAGAUGGAAUACCUGUACCCAAUAAUGGCAAAAAUCAUAACAUGUUUUGUGUUAAACUCAUCAAAUCGCUAUAUGGCUUAAAACGGUCAGGGAGAAUGUGGUACAACCAACUGAAGGAAUUCCUUAUGAAUAAGGGUUAUUCUAACAGUGAUGAUUGUCCAUGUGUCUUCAUAAAGAAAUCUUCUACACGUUUCUGCAUCAUAUUAGUAUAUGUGGAUGACUUGAACAUCAUCGGCCAUAAACGUGAUAUUGAUGAGGCGCACAAUCUUUUAAAGACGGAAUUUGAGAUGAAGGUUUUGGGUAAAACCAAAUUUUGCUUAGGUUUGCAACUUGAGCACCUUCCCACGGGCAUUCUCAUUCAUCAGUCUACUUAUGCCCAGAAAGGGAUAAGGAUCCUUUUCGACCACGAGAUGAAGGAGAAGAGAUUUUGGGUCCUGAGUACCCAUAUCUUAGUGCGAUUGGAACACUUAUGUAUCUAGCAAACAAUACAAGACUCGAUAUUGCUUUUGCGGUAAAUUUACUUGCUAGACAUAGUGCAUCCCCUACCAAACGUCAUUGGACUGCAAUAAAAAAUGUUCUUCGAUACCUUCAUGGCACGGCAGAUCUCAGUCUAUUCUACGAAAGAAAUCAAGAUCCUAGCCUCGUAGGGUACAUAGAUGUUGGUUAUCUUUCAGACCCCCACAAUGGAAGGUCUCAAACUGGGUUUGCAUUUCUAAAUGGUGGAACUGCUAUUUCUUGGAAGUCAUCCAAGAAAACUCUAGUAACAACAUCCACUAAUCACUCAUAGAUUAUUGCCUUGUAUGAAGCUUCACGUGAAUGUGGCUGGCUUCGAAGGGUGAUUAAUCACAUUCAAUCAUCAUGUGGGAUUCAUUCCAUUGAAUCACCCACCAUUAUCUAUGAAGAUAAUGCAGCUUGUGUUGCUCAGAUGCAACAAGGUUAUAUCAAGAGCGAUGUUACCAAACAUAUAUCUCCCAAGUUAUUCUAUCCUCAUCAACUUAUUGCUCCCAACCGUGGACUCCAAGGGACGUGCCCCUUGCACGUUCUCUUCAUGGUGUCGGGUGUGACCCCACGAAGGAACAGACGGCGCAUGGUCUGCAUGGCUCCAAGGGACGUGGCCCUAGCACGUUCGCACGUAUGCUUUCUCUGGUGUAUGGGCGAAGGGUCACAUCCUAUCAGACGCUUCUCUCUUCCGUUGUUCAAGGACAUGUAUAAUACAUAUGUAUUGAGCAAUAAAGAUUACACAUGGUUCUCAUUUUCAUUUUCACCAGUUUACUUUCACCAGUUUACUUUGACAAAGUUUACUAACAAGUAUGUGAAGGUAGGAACCAUAAGAAGACCAUCACUCGUCUAAGUGGUUUAUGGCAGCAUUUCGCUUGAAAUGAGGGAAGAAGUUAUUGAACCUGUUGUUGAGCCUGAGCCUGAGCCCGAGCCCGAGCCGCAUGACAACGAUGCACCAUGAAUAGGAAAAGCACAAAGACAUCAGUUCUGAUAGGAAGAUGAAAUGGAGGGCAGGGCACUGCUUAUAAUGUUCUAGAGGUAGUCAGAAUUUAGAAAUAAUGGAAAGCCUUGUACUUGUUACGUGGAUAAUAUUGUCUAAAUUUAAACCAACAAUAGAUCUGUACUCUGUAGUAGGAUUGAAUUGUCGGAUAUGUACAUGUCAUCAUUCUUCUAUUUUCGUGAAACGUGUCACUUCCUGAUCUCUUUACUCCGCAAAUGCGCAAGAACAAUAUGCAUACUAAAUACUUUGGCUGACACACCAUAUGCUCGUUCCUUGCUUUCGAUCAGCUCAGGAGUAACGCACCUAAUUAUAUAUAUGUUUAAGAGAUCCUGAAUAAUUAUUUUCGAAUGAUGAAAAGAGACUGCAUGGAAAUUUUCCUAUUACUAAGCUGACCUAUGUAAGUUUCUGCAUCACCAAGUAACAAAUAAAUCUAUCGCUUAUGCGCAUCGAUUUCUGCUUAGCUAGAGCCACAAGCUGAUGAACUACACAAUCUGGGAUUUCUCUGCCAGGAUUUUUUUGCCUGUAAGAUUUCGAAGCACUUCUUCGAGCUCAAUAUUAUUGCAAACCACCUUUUACUUACAGGUUUUAAGGGAGAAUAUACAUAACAGACAACUGCUUAAGGGGGAGUGUUAUGAAAGAUAAGCAGUUGCUUAUUGCUCCCAGCCGUGGACUCCAAGGGAUGUGCCCCUUGCAUGUUCUCUUCAUGGUGACGGGUGUGACCCCACAAAGGAACAGACAACACAUGGUCUGCAUGGCUUCAAGGGACGUGCCCCUAGCACGUUCGCACAUAUGCUUUCUCUGGUGUAUGGGCGAAGGGUCACAUCCUAUCGGACAUUUCAAUUUCUGGAAUAUUAUUUUGAGUAUUCAGAUCUAAAUCCAAAGUUCCGAUUUUUUUACUGUUUAUAGGCGCAAGCUUGUCGAGCUCAUUGACAAGCUUGAUGAAGGUACAAUAAAUUGGACAGAGUUUGCAAGUGAGGUGAAGAUGCACCAUGGAAACAGGCUUGGAGGUCCGUAUCAGAGGUUGUCUAGUCGAAGUCUGAGGCAUGAGGCGUAUUUUUAUGCAAAUCCUCUUCCAGGGUGCUUGUGCAGAAGAAACACAUAGGAUCAAGUGGCAUGAACCUUACAUACGAAUAGAUAGUUAUCAUACAUCGAGCUUUCCUCCAACUCAUUGGCAUACACCAAACAGUGAAAAUCCGAGUAGACUGACAGCAAAAGGACAUGUUUUUUUCUUCCUAUAAACAGAUAAAAUUUAUGUAGUUUUCCAUCUUACACGAGGAUACAGGAGGGAACACUCACUGAAAUGUGCAUUUUCAAGGGAUUGUUUAUUCAGGUUUAAAAAUAGAACAGGCAAAGAUAUUCAAAGAGGAUAUGUGUGGUGCCACAGAUUAUAGAAUUAGCAGAUUUGAUGAGUUUUUAGUGUAUGUUUGUAUUUACUCCAUAGUCCACAUGUAGAGCCUCUCAUGUGGGAGAUUCUUGUGGGAGCCUCUGUCACUUGGUUUGUCCUCCAGAUGCACAACCUUAAAUCUAAAAUUUAACUUUAUUCAUUUUAUUAUGCACAAUAAUCAUUAGUUGUAGCGGUAGUACUAUGGCCAGUUUCUCUUGUGAGGUGAGGUGUUUCUCUUGUAUUCAUAGGCUCAUCCCUUGACACCUCUAUGAUAUCAGCCUCUUUCCAUGCCGUGUUUAUCACCUCCUUUAUUUUAUCUCUGGAAGCCCACAAUGGCAAUGCCAAAUUGAGAUCGAAGAACACUUUGAUUCCAAAUUUCUUGGACAGCUCAAUGGCUCUGAAGAGCGUGUCAUGCAUUAAGGGGGUUUAACAGGACUUCUGAAUUGAAUUGAAACAUUCUAGCCUGUGUAAUUGCCACAUAGAUUAGAUCUGAAUAAAGAGGAAAAUGUUUUUUUGUUGCCAGCGUGUCAACCCGAACGGUGGAUUCUGCUAAAAAUGCUUACUUGAAACAGUUUGGAAGAUGAUCUCACCACGAUUGCGAAAGAUAUAGUGAUUGUGAAAUAUACUUGAUGGACUCGUUGUUGUUUUCCGGUUUCUUUUUUUAUCUCUCUGAUAUCAGUCUCACACCUCUAUAGUUCAAUUGGGGAUGGAAAGUUCAUAACGAGUAGUAGUUUUAAAGCAAUCUCUCACCAGGAUCAACUCGGGUGUUUGCAUCAGUAAUCCAGAAAUAUUUUAUCUUGAUAACGAGCUGAGGCUCAGCCUACCCACUCUCAUCAAUGGUGUGACUCAUCUUAAGAUUAUUCAUAAAACUCUCCAAUACAUUUUAAAAAAAUACCUCAGUAUUUAUUAUGCAAUGAAAAAAAUCUUCAGAUUAGUUCUUAAUGUUUGAAAUUAUCAUGCAAUUCCUAAUCCUAAGUUCCUAAAUUUACUAAUGCAAUUCCUAAUCCUAAGUUCCUAAAUUUACUUAUGCAAUUCCUUCCUAAGUUCCUAAAUUUACUCACGCAAUUCCUAAUCCUAAGUUUCUAAUUAACAUCAUAGCUAAUGCUGGUACGCAGACGCAGCAGCUCAUGCAACGAGGCCGACAUACUCGAGCUCCACGGAGCCUAACCAGAGCUUCCCCUUCAUCUCCGCCACGUCGCUCAGCGUGACGCCCUUGGCCGCCGUGAGCUCCUCGACUUCCGCCCCGUCAGCGUUCAGGCGGACGCCCACCAGGUGCUUCACGGGAGCCGUCGCCGGCGUCGCGUCCAGCCGCUGCUUCUCCUGGUUCAGCGCCACCCAGUAGCCACCAUUGCCGUCCCGCCUCACGUUGUCGGGGUACCCCGGCAGGUCGGCCAGCAGGUCGUACUGCCCCGCCCUGGCGCCGCUGAGAAAGUACCUGAACGCCUGGCAGGGCACGGUGUGCGCGACCACGACGUGUGCCCCGUCGCGGCGGACCGCCACGCCGUUCGGGUACGGCAGGCCGGCCUUCAGCACGGCGACGCUCUUGGUCCGCGCGUCGUACCUGAGGAGCCGGCCCGUCGCGUCCGCGUUCAUCAUGAUCUCGGUGUUAAACUUCCUGGGAUACGUCGCGCUGGAGUCGGUGAAGUAGACGUCUCCGGUGGACUGGUCGACGUCGAGACCGUUGAUGAAGUGGAACGGGGCGCCGCCCGCGCCGGUCGCGAGCACCUCGGCCUCGCCGCCGCCCGGACCGACCCUCAUGAGCCCCAGGUAGGCGUCGGCGAUGUAGAGGUCGCCGGUCUUGGUGUGGAACUGGAGGCCCAGCGGGCGGCCGCACAUGCUCUCGGUCUCCUCCGACGGCACCACUCCCGCCGUGCACAGGGGUAUCUUGCGGUAGUUUACGCUGUGCGCGAACGUAGUCCAGCCGACGGUUGUGCCGCCCCACUUGAGGACGCGGCCGUCCGAGACACCGGCGUAGGGCCCCUCGCCCUUGCCGUCGAAGGCGAGGCUCUCGGCGCCGCGGAGGCCGCUUGGUAAAGGAAGCUGGAAGCUCCAGCGCGUGUCGGUGGUCUUGAUCUGUGCGGCGGCACACGGCCGGGCGAAAAGGGCUAGGGCUAGCACGACCAAGGCGAGGAGCCACGUCGCUAGAUUGCUCCGACGCCCCAUGCUGCUAGCUAUAUCUUCCUCGCGAUCUUUCUAAUGUGCGAGAUGGAACCUGCAGCCCCUACCUUUGGAUGGAGAACAACCCUCCAUAUGGCAUUACAUAUACUAGAUCAGGGGGCGUCCUUUGGGACGCCCUAUCCAAUACAAAGGAAACAAAACAGAAAAUGGUAAGGAUUUGAUAUUAGUGCUUGAAAGCUUGAGUGCAAAACAGACAGAGGAAUAAAGCAGCGAUUAAAGUUGCAGUUGUUCUCUAAAUUAUUAUUAUUAGAAUGUCAUUCAAUUCCAAUAUUCCAUGUGUCAUGUUCCUUCCACCAAAAAGAAAUUGGCAUAUGAAUUCAUUGUAUUUCACAACCAUUUAACUACAAUAAGUGAAUCACUGCAAUUAAUUUGUGACUUAAUGGUUGGGUCACCUUACUAUGAAGCAAUAGCUUGACCUCUCUCAUUGCGUUGUAAAAGAAUCCUUCAUUGGCAAAAUCACUGUUGGAGGAUGAUUUUUUUUCUUAGUUCAUAGUUGCAUUUAAGCACUAAGUCUGAUGUGCUGUCGAGAGAAUGCUAUGACAACACUUAGCUUGCACUUUGAAUCAAACAAAACUGAUAUUGAGGGAUUACAUGGUCUUCUGGGUUUAGCUGCAAGUUCAUGACAACUAUUUAUAAAGAAAACUGAACUAAUGCCAUAUAAAUGCAUUUUAAAUCUAUACAAUGCUAGUAACAUACAACUUUUUUUGCUAGCUUCAAGACCGUUUGGAUCUCUCAUUAAAUCAUGCAGUGCCUAGUUGUCAUGUUAUUAUUUUCACUAUUGCAUUCUUAUGUUUAGUAAUUCUAUCGGAGCCUCUACUGUAUGUGUGAAGGUGGAAACCUGAGGAAGCUUUUGUAUGAACACUAUCAAACUAAUAGGGGCAGAGGUAUCACGCAACAGAGUAACAAUCUGCAGUAACAAAUAGCACAAAGAAUAUUAUCCUCUUCUACUAAAGGCAGAACAUGAUGGACUCAUGAAUAUUGAUCACCAUCCCAAACUUGUAAGUAAAACUGCACAGGGACAAGUCUGUGAUUGCCAUGAACAGAAUUGUCCUUGGCAGCAUGGAGUCUGGCAAUCACAGACGGAAGGGUUGCAGAAAACCCAGGAACGUGACCAAAUAUCCAGAUUAACUCCUUUUCAAUAAGAUACAAGGCUGAUUGUUGCACAGGGACACGAUAAAUAGUGUCUGCGAUAGAAGGAAAAAUGAUGCAUGUUAGACCACUAUUGGAGUCAAAACCACCUGACAAAAAACAAAAAGACUCAAAAAUUCAGGAAGUCAGGUUUGUUACAACCCAAUCUAAUCUAAUCUACUAUUUCUACGGUCCUAUCACGACUACUCGGACUUUUAGUUCAGGAACAAACGACUUUACAACUUUAUAGCUAAAUAUAAGUUGCUCAUAUUUUGUUUGUCCAUUUAAAUUGAGUUGAAAUUCAAAACCCAAAUUGUAAUUUGAAGUUUCAAAAUAAAAUAGGAAAAUAAAAAGCAAGCAGGAAAUAAAAUGAAAAGAAGAAGAAUAAACUUACCUGUUACUAGUUACUACCUGGGUCAGUUCUAUCGUCGGCCCAUUAACCACUCACGCCUGCACAACCGAUCUCGUCUCCCUCGGGUGUUAGCACCGGUGCAACCGAUACAGGGACCCCACUGGUCGGGCUCUCAGUCGCACGGAUGUCUCUAAUCAGUUACUGGAGGCUGGGCCAGCUCGCUCAGUAACGGAAAGCCUCGUACUUGUUGCGUGGAUAUUCAGAAAGAAUAGUGUCUAAAUUUAAACCAAUAGUAGAUGUGUACUCUGUAGUAGGAUUGAAUUGUCGGAUAUGUACAUUUCAUCAUUCUUCUAUUUUCGUGAAACAUGUCACUUCCUAAUCUCUUUGCUAUGCAAAUGCGCAAGAACACUCUGCAUACUAAAUACUUUGGCUGACACACCAUGUGCUCGUUCCUUGCUUUCGAUCAGCGCAGGAGUAACACACCUAAUUAUAUAUAUGUUUAAGAGAUCCUGAAUAAUUAUUUUCGAACAAUGAAAAGAGACUGCAUGGAAAUUUUACUAUUAAUAAGCUGACCUUUGUAAGGUUCUGCAUCACCAAGUAACAAAUACAUCUAUCGCUCACGCGCAGCGAUUUCUGCUUGGCUAGAGCCACGAGCUGAUGUGAACUACGCAAUCUGGGAUUUCUCUGCCACAAUUUUUUCGCCUGUCAGAUUUUGAAGCACUUCUUUGAGCUCAAUAUGUAUCGAGUCUUACAGAACAGGUACAAAUUUGAGUUCGCCAGCCUGUAGGCAAGGCGACCUUGACCCCUUUGGAUGUCAGGAGUUAUUCCAGUUAAAUGCUUAUUCUCAUAUGCUUCAACGCACACAUACUCACAUGUAUAAUUUAUAAGCUUCUAUGAACAUGCACAUGCAUGAUCAACAUCUUCGAAAACUGGGUCGAUAAUUUUUUAAGAUGGAAUUAAUGAAGUUAUUAUAGACGUCUCGCUGUCGAUAAUAGUAUCGUUUAUCACUAUAAGCGUAAAAACCGUUAGAUCAUGAUAUAUUCGCUUAUAGAGUGAAUUGAAUUUUCGGAGGGUCAGAUUAGGAUGUACCGGCUCUUUCGCUGCUGCGUGCUGCCACUUUUGGUUGUUCACGCUCUCACGCAACACAUGAUUAGGAAAGGCCCCUCUCUACGACCCACGUAUCAACAACAAGCUCUACCAUAUGCAUGACAUUUGUGCUAUUUAGAACCACACCGCUGGCUCACAUGAGAAGACACCAGCUUAAAAAUCUAUUCCUCAGUGCCACACUCGCCGAGCAGCUAGCGUCUGCUUGUAACCCGAGCGGGGGCAAUAAAGUGGUGUGGAUGCCAAUUGUGGCGCUUGGACCCGUUCCUGGUACUGCAAUCUGCGGCCCGCCCGUUCCAAGUUGGUAGUUGGGUUGUGACCGCUUUGGCGAAGGCCAUGGCGUCCCAACCUCUAGAGCGACGGGCAAUGCGUGAGGCUGGUUUCACAGAGCAGCGAAUACCAUCCGCUUCCAACGGUGGAAGGAUAACGGGCCACUGCACUCCAGGCCCACCUAGGCUCAAGCACUCUUUCUGGCAGACCACCAUUUUUGUUUUUUGGCUUGUCUUGCACACCUACUCGUUUGCCACUGCAGCCCAUUUGUCCAACCUGCAGCGUCUAGCAACAACCAUCAUCAAUCGAUUAUGUAGCCGAUUUGAACCUCUAGGCACUGGUCCUCUGGACGUUCGAUACAUUCCACAUGUAACAUGUUCUUGCCAUUUUGUACAUACUAGUGUGUUCUGGUUGAGUUUACAGUGUCUGCAGUAAGCCAAUUCUUUUGAAUCAAAAGCCAUUAAACGCUCUAGAAGAUGAAGAGCCAAAGGAUAGGAACUUGUAAAGCUCAAGUAUCUACUGUCCUCAUUUUGAAUCUACAGAUAUCUUAGACAACAUCAUGGGGCAGAUGGGGAGGGAAACACACCUAACAACAUUGCUUGGCUCCAUGCCCACACAUCGACAACAUGGCACGAGUGGGGAAGAAACCGGGGCUCUGGUAUGGUCAUGCGUUGCUAAGGGGGUAGGUAUUUUAGCGUCAUAGUGUACCAACCUGCCUGGUAGCUCGCAUUGCUCAUGGCGGCUGUCGCGGGCCUCCACGUUUGUUGCCCCGGUAUGGGAGGAUGGGUGAAGGCGGCACACAGAGAGGUAUGUGAUGGGCAGAAUGGCGCUGAGGACGUCGCACGUGGUCCCCUCGAAUCCCUCGGACGGACGACAACAUUUGAGGAGAGCAAGUGAGGUGGGGCCUGGGGGGUGGCGGGUGACGACGUUUGAGCGGCGUGGAGAUGGAAGCCGCUUACCUGGACUGCGGGAUCACGAUUCAAAAGCGCUGGCGGCUGUCGCUAGAGCCGGGGGAGGGGGGAGGGGGCAGGACACGACGCCAGGAGCCCCUCACAGAGCGUGGGCUAGAGGAAGAGAGACAGAGGAUGAAGAGAGAAAGCGAGGGCAAGCGAGGAGAGCAGCCUGGAAAUCUCUAAAGGUGAUAAAAACCACGGGUGCACGGGAGAGAAUGCGGGGAAAAUGAACCAACGAUCCACAAUCGAACGACUAAGAAUUUUUUGGGUGACGUAGAUGGGCUCAUAGGCGUCGUUUCCAUCAGGCUUUAAUAAUAAGGAAAUACAACCGAACAAGUUGGUUACGAUCAGGGACCGACCAUUACAAUCGUAGGCAUCUCCUCUUGGCUAUAUAACCUGAGCACCCCCUCCUCAUCCAUCUUGUGCCAACGCCAAGGAGUCAAAUGUCGCAAUGACCCAAGGAGUUGAGAGUGCCACCGUGAACCGAGUGCCGAACGAGAGGGAGAGAAGGUCCACGCCGCAGUUUCGGAUCUACACUGUCUCUCGGGUGGUGUGCGUGGCUAGCCCAGACGGGAGGAGUGGUCGGAGAGCAAGAAGAGUCGUCACCAGAGUCACAAAUAGAGGUUCCUACUUUUCAUCCCUAACUUCCCUAACCUAGGUCAGUUCUACCGCCGGCCCAUUAACCUCUGAUGCCUGCACAACCGAUCUCACAUCCCUCGCGUGUUAGAACCGGUGCAACCAAUAGACAGGCCCCACUGGUUGGACUCUCAGUCGCGCGGAUGUCUCUAAUCAGUCACUGGAGGGUGGGCCAGCUCGCUCAGUAACGGCCUCACACGCAGCACGCGGGUCACAACCUAUCGGACGCUUCUCUCUCCUGUUGUUCAAGGACAUGUAUAAAUACAUAUGUAUUGAGCUAUAAAGAUUACACACAGUUCACAUUUUCACUUUCACCAGUUUACUUUCACUAGUUUACUUUCACACGUCAUCGGCACUUGCUUUCACCAAAUAGGAGAAAAGGCCAAAGAGGACAACCAUGAAGAACAAGGCAAGAACACCGGCAACUAUCGGGUACGUGAUGAUCUACAAAGAUCUUUAUGUUGCCCUUCUUACCUUCAUCCUUCGAUUUUUGAAUAGUGGCCAUCGUCGCCGGCGAGGUGCUGACCCUAUCGCACGUCGCCUUCUAUAUGCUGCGCAUCGACAUGGAUGCCGCCAUGCCAAGAAGCGCCGCAAGAAGGACGCCCGGACCACACUUGACCCUGAGCAUGUCCGCCGGACCGGUGGUGAUCCUGGCGCUGGACCCAGCAACACUGCGGCAACUGCGGCAUCGCCGCAGCCAGCGCCACAUCAAGACCGAUGGGUGCGUCCUCCAUCGCCUUCGCUGGAGCGGGUUGCAGAGCGGUUGCGUGAGUCUGAGACCCAACAACCGCUCCGUCCGAUGCGGUACUGCCCCCUCCAUGGAUGGGGGUCGUGCCCAGCUCGCCAACCAUGAGCUUCUCCACCGGAUGCAAACACCCCCGCUACCGGUGUUUGAUCGAGCGGGCUGCUCGUCCAGGUCGCCUCUCCAGCGCGCCCUCAUGCCCGGACACGGCUCACUACACGAAAGUCGACCGGCCCUCGCUGUCGUCCCGUCGGUCAGAUCGCAUCAACGACUGUGGCAAACAUCAUUGUCGACGACUCCUCUUCUUCAUCUGACGAAGACAAGCAGAUGCACUUGAUCCUCGACGGAGUACCGGCGAGGCUGCCUAGCCCGACCCUCGACGCCGGCACCUCGGGAACAACGUCACCGCCGACACUCUUGAGCCCAAGUGGCAAUCGGGUCAUCCAUCGGCUGGAAAACCACCUCUCCCCUCGGCCUCGCGUACCGGGGUCAUGGUCUGCAACUGCAAGAUCCUCGGACGACAACAUUGGGCGCGAGCGCUCACGCUCGCCCCCUCGCCAUCUUCCCUUAUGUGCGGGCUCGAUGUCCGGCUUUGGCACGGCAAGGCCACGACGCGCUCGGCUCCUGCGUGGCGGACGCGGCCUCGCCCGGCCACGACGGCUUCAGGAGCAGGUCCAAGGUGGCUACCAGCUACCAGUUGGAGCCACGGGCGCUCGACGGCUGGCGGCGGCCCAUGGCGGCGGCUGUUGGCGGCGGUUAGGGUUUGACCCUUUAGAAAAACCAUGCACGCCUCAGGCUAGCCAGCAGGCCCAUGUGCCAGCACGCCUCAGCUUGGGCCAGCCAGCAGGCCCAUGUGCCAGCACGCCUACGCCAUAGUUAUCCAUUUUCAUUUUUAUUUUAGCUAUUUUCAGUUUUCUAAAUCCAAGCGAACUCUAGAUUGCUUUAGUAAAUGAUGUUAGAAAUUUGAGAUUCGAUUCUUAAAAUUCUUCAGUAGCAGCUUGUGUCAUGAAUUUUUCCAAUGUUUUAGUACUUGGAAAUGAUUUCAAUAAAUAUUUUCUUUAAAUAUGAAAUUUAUUGUCAUGUGUUCUAUUAUGCAUUCCUUAAAAUGCAAACUAAAAAACAUAUUCAUUUCAAUUAUACCCAUAGUGGUUUAAUACGAGCAGAAUUAAUUUUUUGAUAGAACAUAAAGAAUAAUCAAUAUUCAUCUCAAUUAAGUUAUUCAAAACUUAAUACUAGCAAGAAUAUGUAUUUAUUCGAUUCCGUACGCAAUUGAUGCUACCCAUAUAUUCAUCUUAUUAAGUUACUAAUAGUACAUAAUUUCAUCUGAAAAUUUUAUAUUAGAUAUACUACAUCAUUAACAUCAUAAUGAAAUUUUCGAUCUCUUGCAUCACUUUGCAAUUGAGACCUUAAACUAUGAUUCAUCUAUGCAAUAUCGCAUUGUAUUGCAUAUUAUUCAUCUCAAUUGGGUUUUCUCUUAAAUCCAAUACGAGCAAGAAUAGAUAUAUGUUUUGAACACCACACAUAUUACAACACACCCAUGAUGAUUUAUUAAUGAAAUUCUCUGGUUGCUUGUGUAGGAUCAUGGCCCGCGAGUUCAAAGAACUUGCUCUUGAUGGACACAACUAUCCUACUUGGGCGUUGGAUAUCAAGAUUAGCUUAGCCUCAAAGAAUAUUCUGAGUGCAUUACUCCCUCCCAACGAGAGGGUUGAACCACUACAUGAUGCUUAUAAGUACAACACUUUGUACAUUAUAAGACAUCACCUCCAUCCUGAUCUACUUCAAGCAGAAAAUCAUGAUGAGCUUAUGAUAAAAAAAUCAUAAGCAAUAUCGUGUUGGAGCUGCUCCUAUGCCAGAAAACCAUCCCAAGAACUCUGAUAAUUCAAAGAAGCGCAAACGCAACAAGCGUACGAAUAAGAAAAAUACAAAGGCUCCGAGGAAAGACACCCCCACUUCCAAGCAAGAGAAGUGUAAGAAGUGUGGAUGCUUGAACCAUCCUACUAAAAAGUGUUUCAUUCCUUGUCAUUUAGUGGCACUGUACCAGCAAUCUCUUAAGGGAAAAAAUGUUGAAGGACAGGGAUAUGAAGCUCACUUCACCACCCCACCUAACUUGAAGGAUGGAGCUGGUUGCUCAAGCAUGGCUACAAUGGAACCAAGCACGACCAACCCUCCGCUUCUGACCAACACCGAAUACAUGAACUUGGACAAUGCCAUCAUCGAAUAUGCUUCGAGUGAUGUGUUUGGAUACCUUUACUAGGAUCCUCAUGCUUCUACCAGAUAUCAUCUAUUUGUAAGUCUAUGAGUGUGUGCAACAAGUGUGUUGUAAUAAGUACCUAGACCUUGGAAUUUGUGUGUAUAUUCCAUACUCUACUGUAUAAUUAUGUAUGUACUUAUAUGUAUAAUGAAGUGUCCCAAUCCUCUGGGACUCAAAUGCGAUACAAUUACUAGUCCCAGGAGGCUAGUAAACACAUUUAUAUAUCAGAUGAUUCCAGAUCUGCUUAAACAAGACAAACCUAUAAAGGUGGCGAUCAACUUUAAGAGUUGGUCCACAACUCGGGACAUAUCAUCAGAGUGGGGCUAAAGCAGCCCGAUAUACGCAGCGAAGCAAAUCAGCGGUCCAACAGCCACAUGCAAGGCUGGGAACAGGCGUAACUCUUACCCGAUCAGCGAUCUCGUUCUCUGAAAAACAACAAAUAAGCAAGAGUGAGUACUUACGUACCCAACAGCCCACCUUCCCCCAUGGAAUGGAGAAAUCAGAUAUAAUGCAUGGAGUAUGUGGAGCUCAGGAUAUUUUGCAGAAAGAGCAAUAUUUGAUGCAGGGUUAUUUUGUAAAACAUUUUAUAUUUUUUAAAAGCACGUCCUCUCCCAAAGGAGCAGGAAGUUUUUCAAUAUAGAACAAAAUCCCCUGGACUAAACCAUCCAGGUAUCUCAGCAGUUUCCCACUGGUUUUCAUUUUCAAAAAUAGCUACUGGACUUCCCGUCCACCAUAGCUCACGGCUCAACCGUCGGAACUUUUAAAAACCACUUUUCAAAAGCAUUUUUGGAAAACAAAACACUAAUUGUCAAAUCCAUGCCAUAACUCAUUCAUAUCUGUGGACGCGGACUAUUUGAAUAGGUUUUUAACUCUGCGCAGAGGUGUACACUUUACCCACUAGUCCGGUUUCUGCAAUCUCACCGUUGUGAGAUCCAAAUGCCGAAACUCUCUCCUUCCUUGCACGUCCAUACCUUAGCGAUUAUACCAGAAGGAACAAGGCCACCGCCAUGUCCAAACCGGACAAAACAUUCCCCUUUCUUAUCCUCCCGGUGCUCCCCAGCCGUCAUAACCCUGGGGUUCGGACCGUGCAAGUUCAGAUCAAGCGACUGCCCAUACAGUAUCGAGUGGUUAUACUUGAUAAGAGUAUAGGUAAGCAGUGAUGACAAACCGGUCCUCAGGCGAGAGGGACAAUCCUUCAUGCUCACACCUAACCUGGCUGUGCCAUCACCUUAGGCCCUCCCCUAAACCAGGGAGUCUCUGAUCAUCCCGCUCAAGGGUGAUAAGGGUGACAAACCUUCAUCAUAUCCAUUUUGAAAAACAUUUUCUUUUGAAAACUCACACCUUUUCUCAAAUCAUUUGUAACAAAAAUAUCAAGGAGUAUAAAGAUUAAUUGCGGCAAAGUUCUAAGGCAGGGUGGCCAUAAUAACUUGUCUCUUAACAGCAAAAUCAUAUCAUGCAUAAAAUAACAGGCUGAGGGUUGUGGUUGAAAAGCAUAGGUAAUUUAUGCAUCAAAGGGAUCCAGUGAGCUUGCAGUGCUUAACCGGCGAAAGGGUGAGAGCUCGCGGAACUGGCUUCUGGCUCCACCGUUUGUCGUAGGCUUACAGAUCUGGCCUUCACGAGACAGCACAAACGCUCCAAUAACUAUGCAGCAUGAACAAGAAAACAUACAAACCAACAAUUAUAACAACAAAUAUUUAGUAUAGUGGUCAGAAUGGCAAUAUAUGGAUGGGUAGAGUCUUGAGCAGAAUCUAUGUCAUGUGGUGUUGUGAUAUUACUGGUGGUGGAGUGGAGGUGCUUACCAGGAGGGUGGAUUGGAGGCAAAGCGACACUAUGCGUGCAGCCGGCAGAGCGGAGUAACUGAGUGGGUGGGGUGUUUGCCUUGGUUGAGGGUGUUGAGUGUGUGGAGAGGGAGAGGGUAAGUAGGUCUAUUUAUAGCUGGGUGUAUAUGGUGUAGUACAGUAAAUUUCACUGUUGGUGAGAAUAGUGACGAAUGAAUCGUCUGAGUUAGUCUGAACAGAAAAAUUAUAGGGAGAAUAUGGGACAAGAGUAUUUUGAGAGUUUUCUAGAAUAUGAACCAUGCUUCAGGGAUGACAUGGUUGGAUAGGGAAUAAUUUGAUAAGAAUUUAGAAACAAGAAUUAUUGGAAUCUGAGUUUGGAAUCCUGGUUCGAAAGAAUCUCAAAGUUAAGCGUGCUCAACUUAGAGAAAUCUAGGAUGGGUGACCAGAUGGAAAGUUCUUAAUAGAAGGAAAAUCAUAGUCACCGGAGUUUGUAUGACUGGAAUAUUGGUUUGGCAGGUCUUAGGUGAGCUGGACAACAUGAUGGAUGAGCAGUUGAAUAUUUGGGUGAUAGGAUGGGCGAUGAAUAGUAACGAUGAAUAGUAAGGAAGAAAUAGUAACAAUGAGCAGUAACGAAGAAAUAGUAACAAUGAAUAGUAACGAUGAAUAGUCCAUAUGAACAGACGAUGAACGAUGAAUAGUGACUAUGAACGAAUGACGAACGAUGAAUAGGGACUACGAACGAACGAUGAACGAUGAAUAGGGACUAUGAACGAACGGACGAAUGAUCGAAUGAUCGGACGAACGAACGAUCGGAAUUUCGGCAGCAUAACGGCUGAACAAAGAUUAUUUGGAUGAACGAACGGAUGAACGAUCGAUCGAACAAACGAACGAACCAUGAACGAUCGGACGAACGAACGAACAAACUAAGAACAGGUGGACGAACGAUCGAACGAUCCUUGUGCUUGUGUGGGAGUGGGAAUGGGGGGAGAGUUGCCAUGAAAUGGCUUGGUAUGGCUUGAGGGGAGGCCCUUGCCCCUCUAUUUAUAUGCUAGGUGGGGGAUGAGGGGGAGGAGGCGAGGAUUAGUGGGAGGAUGCGAGGAUUAGUGGGAGAUAAGCAUGUAUUAGGCAUGUAUAAGUGAAAUUAGCUUGUAGAGCUCACCGUAUGGCACCGGAGGCGUACGUAUACGUAUGAGCAUGAGGAAAAUUAUGAAAAAAAUAUUUGCAGGGACUGUAAAAAUGAUUCUGAAGGUAUUUCUCAGGAGGAAAAUAUUUGAAGAAUUUUCGGUGGAAUAUUUGGCAGUAUUUCUGGAAAGAAUUUGAGGGGGAUCACUCGGGAAAUAUUUGUAGGAUAUUUUGAGGAGGAUUUUGGAGAGAAUAUAGACCACUAUUUUUUAUUUGUUGAUAUCAACUCGCAAACAAACAUUUUGAAAUGAAAUUUAAAAUUCAUUUUGAAUUUAGAGCAAGUUUGAGAAAUUUUAAGAUUUGAAUUUUUGGGUGCUACAUAUAAUUAAUUGAGUUCUCGCAAUUCUUGAUUAUAUAGAUUAUGCGGAAGUCAAUCCAAUGGAGGAAGAAUUAUGCCUUGUAGAUAGUGGUACCACCAACUCUAUUCUUCGCGAAACAAAAUAUUUCCAAACUCUCACAAGGAGGCCAUGAAAUGUUUUGGCAAUCGCUGGGCGCGAUGCGAAAAUAGUUGGCUCUGAACGAGCGACUAUUACACUCCCUAUGGGUACACAAGUCACUAUCGAGUAUGCUUUAUUGUACCCCGAUUCAACUCGUACCCUUCUGAGUUUUCGAUAUAUUCAGAAAAGUGGUUUACAUAUUUCUACUCAUACAGAAAAUAAUGAGGAAUUUCUCGUCAUUUCCAAACCUUCUGAAUAUGGCGCUAACAUUCUGGAAAGAAUACCUUCACUACCAUCCGGAUUGUACUACACAUACAUAAAACUAGUACCUCAUGUUACGUACAACGUGAUUUUUCAGAAUAUCGAUUCAUUCAAGUCCUGACAUGCACGUCUUGGUCACCCUGGAAUAGAGAUGAUGCAGAAAAUCACAGGUAAUUGCAUUGUUCAUGAUUUAAAGUGUGCUAAAUUCCCUAAACCAUUUGAUUUUAUAUGUACAUCAUGUGCAACGGGAAAGCUAAUCUUAAGACCAUCUCCUCUUGAGAUUCAUGCUGAACCACUCAAGUUCCUUGAACGAAUUCAAGGUGACAUUUGUGGACCCAUACAACCAUUAUCUGGACCGUUUAGAUACUUCAUGGUAUUAAUAGACACAUCUACACGAUGGUCACAUGUGUGCCUUCUGUCUACACGUAACCAUGCUUUUGCUAAAAUCAUGACGCAAGUCAUUCGAUUGAAAGCACAUUAUCCUGAACAUCAAAUCCAGAAAAUCCACCUAGAUAAUGCGGCUGAAUUCUCUUCUAAAGCAUUCAAUGAUUAUAGUAUGGCCCAGGGAAUACACAUUAAACAUUAUGUGCCUUAUGUACAUACUCAAAAUGGUUUAGCUAAAUCUCUUAUUAAGAGGAUCAAACUCAUCGCAAGACCUUUACUUCAUGAAUGCAAUUUACCUACUUCUUGUUGGGGUCAUGCCGUUUUACACGCUGCUGAUCUUAUUCAACUUCGCCCAACUGCAUAUCAUACCACAUCCCUGUUGCACCUAGUACGAGGAAAUCCUCCAAAUAUAUCCCAUCAACGGAAAUUUGGAUGUGUGGGUUACACCCCUGUAUCACCACCUCAGCGAACAGCUAUGGGACCUCAUAGGAAAUUAGGCAUCUAUGUGGGAUAUCAAUCCCCAUCGAUCAUCAAAUACCUAGAGCCCCUUACAGGGGAUUUGUACACAGCUCGUUUCGCUGAUUGCAUCUAACGAGGACCAUUCUCGGCAUUAGGGGGAGAAUUCAAGUAUACUAAUGAACGCCAGGAAAUCAAUUGGGAUGACAAAUCCAUCCUGUCCACAGAUCCUCGAACCCAGGAAUCUAAACUUGAAGUUCAGAAAAUUAUAGAAUUGCAACAUUUUGCUAGUAAUCUGCCUGAUGCAUUUACUGACUAUAAUGGUGUCACAAAAUCCUUGAAUCCUGCUGUUAAUGCGCCUAGUCGAGUGGAGGUACCAAGAAAAACCAUUCAACCAUCUUCUCAACCGAAGAGGGGGAGGGCUGCUAAGCAGGAUAAUGCUUCUACUAAGCGUCAAAGGAAAGAGAGGAACAUACAAUCCUCCAAAUCAGUAAAUGAAAGUCAACCACCAGUUGAUGGACAUCGAGUGGAUACUGUACAUCCACAAACCAGCACUCAUGUGCACAAUUCAGAUGUUGCUGGUACAUCGGAACACCACGUAUCUACUCUUCAUGUGAAUCAAGAAGACUUUCAUGGGGUACAAGAGAUUUCCAUUAAUUAUACUAGUUCUGGAGAAUUGUAUGAUCGUAAAAAUACAGUCGUCAAUUCAUGUUUCUCAUAAAUCAUAGCUGGUAACCUUCUAUCUGACCUAGAUCCUAAAUCCAUGGCAGAGUGUCAACAACGCUCGGACUGGACCAAAUGGAAGGAAGCAAUUAACUCUGAAUUAUCCUCACUAUCAAAAAGAAAGGUAUUCACCUCUGUGAUACCUACACCUCCCAGAAUCCAUCCUGUUGGAUUCAAAUGGGUUUUCACACGGAAACAGAAUGAGAACAAUGAGGUUGUGAGAUAUAAAGUGAGAUUAGUUGCUCAAGGGUUUACCCAAAGACCAGACAUUGACUACAAUGAGACAUAUUCUCCUGUUAUCAAUGGAAUAACCUUCCGGUAUUUAAUUUCAUUGGCAGUACAAAAACGUCUACUUCUGCAGUUGAUGGACGUUGUGACCGCAUAUCUUUAUGGGUCACUAGAUUCGGACAUAUACAUGAAAGUUCCAGAUGGAAUACCUGUACCGAAUAAUGGCAAAAAUCGUAACAUGUUUUGUGUUAAACUCAUCAAAUCCCUAUAUGGCUUAAAACGGUCAGGGAGAAUGUGGUACAACCAACUGAAGGAAUUCCUUAUGAAUAAGGGUUAUUCUAACAGUGAUGGUUGUCCAUGUGUCUUCAUAAAGAAAUCUUCUACACGUUUCUGCAUCAUAUCAGUAUAUGUGGAUGACUUGAACAUCAUCGGCCAUAAACGUGAUAUUGAUGAGGCACACAAUCUUUUAAAGACGGAAUUUGAGAUGAAGGUUUUGGGUAAAACCAAAUUUUGCUUAGGUUUGCAACUUGAGCACCUUCCCACGGGCAUUCUCAUUCAUCAGUCUACUUAUGCCCAGAAAGGGAUAAGGAUCCUUUUCGACCAUGAGAUGAAGGAGAAGAGAUUUUGGGUCCUGAGUACCCAUAUCUUAGUGCGAUUGGAACACUUAUGUAUCUAGCAAACAAUACAAGACUCGAUAUUGCUUUUGCGGUAAAUUUACUUGCUAGACAUAGUGCAUCCCCUACCAAACGUCAUUGGACUGGAAUAAAAAUUGUUCUUCGAUACCUUCAUGGCACGGCAGAUCUCAGUCUAUUCUACGGAAGAAAUCAAGAUCCUAGCCUCGUAGGGUACAUAGAUGUUGGUUAUCUUUCAGACCCCCACAAUGGAAGGUCUCAAACUGGGUUUGCAUUUCUAAAUGGUGGAACUGCUAUUUCUUGGAAGUCAUCCAAGAAAACUCUAGUAACAACAUCCACUAAUCACUCAUAGAUUAUUGCCUUGUAUGAAGCUUCACGUGAAUGUGGCUGGCUUCGAAGGGUGAUUAAUCACAUUCAAUCAUCAUGUGGGAUUCAUUCCAUUGAAUCACCCACCAUUAUCUAUGAAGAUAAUGCAGCUUGUGUUGCUCAGAUGCAACAAGGUUAUAUCAAGAGCAAUGUUACCAAACAUAUAUCUCCCAAGUUAUUCUAUCCUCAUCAACUUAUUGCUCCCAACCGUGGACUCCAAGGGACGUGCCCCUUGCACGUUCUCUUCAUGGUGUCGGGUGUGACCCCACGAAGGAACAGACGACGCAUGGUCUGCAUGGCUCCAAGGGACGUGGCCCUAGCACGUUCGCACGCAUGCUUUCUCUGGUGUAUGGGCGAAGGGUCACAUCCUAUCAGACGCUUCUCUCUUCCGUUGUUCAAGGACAUGUAUAAUACAUAUGUAUUGAGCAAUAAAGAUUACACAUGGUUCUCAUUUUCACUUUCACCAGUUUACUUUCACCAGUUUACUUUGACAAAGUUCACUAACAAGUAUGUGAAGGUGAAAGGGAAAUGUGUCCUUGGGCCAUUUCUAAGUAUUUUGGUGAUUUAGUGUCCAACACAAGUGCCUAAGUAUAAAAUGGUGAACAAAGUACAAAUCAAGGAUAAAGGUAUGUUUCUCAGACUUAGUACAUUGUUUUAGAUACUAAUGUAUAGUGUCUAAGUGCUGGAAACAGGAAAAUCGAAUUGGAAAUGAGAUGGCUUUGUUCAGCCAAAGUAUGCUCAGUCUGGGAGCACCGGACUGUCCGGUGGUGCACCGGACAGUGUCCGGUGCGCCAGGCUGGCUCGAGUGAACUGGCCGCUCUCGGGAAUUCACCGGCGACGUACGGCUAUAAUUCACCGGACUGUCCGGUGUGCACCGGACUGUCCGGUGAGCCAACGGUCGGCCGGGCCAACGGUCGGCCGCGCGAUCUGCGCGGGACACGUGGCCGAGCCAACGGCUAGAAGGGGGCACCGGACUGUCCGGUGUGCACCGGACAUGUCCGGUGCGCCAACGGCUCUCUGGCUGCCAACGGUCGGCUGCGCCAGUUAAGGAAAGAAAUCGGGCACCGGACAGUGUCCGGUGUGCACCGGACUGUCCGGUGCGCCACGCGACAGAAGGCAAGAAUUGCCUUCCCAGAUUGCUCUCAACGGCUCCUAGCUGCCUUGGGGCUAUAAAAGAGACCCCUAGGCGCAUGGAGGAGCACACCAAGCAUUCUAAAAGCAUUCCUAAGCACUAAGACAUCGAUUCCGCGCCUUUGAUUCUUUGCGAUAGCAAUUAGAGCUCUAGUUGAGUUGUGAACUCAUUGAGUUGUGUUGUGAGCUCUUGUUGCGACUUGUGUGCGUAGCGUUGCUGUGAUUUCUUGUCUUGAGUGUGUUGCUUAUCACUCCCUUACUCCGUGCUUCUUUGUGAACUUCAAGUGUAAGGGCGAGAGGCUCCAAAGUGUGGAGAUUCCUCGCAAACGGGAUAUAGUAAAGCAAGCAAAACACCGUGGUAUUCAAGUGGGUCUUUGGACCGCUUGAGAGGGGUUGAUUGCAACCCUCGUCCGUUGGGACGCCACAACGUGGAGUAGGCAAGCGUUGGUCUUGGCCGAACCACGGGAUAACCAUCGUGCCAUCUCUGUGAUUGAUAUCUUUGUGGUUAUUGUGUUUUGUUGAGACUCCUCUCUAGCCACUUGGUGAUUAUUGUGCUAACACUUAACCAAGUUUUGUGGCUUAAGUUUUAAGUUUUACAGGAUCACCUAUUCACCCCCCUCUAGGUGCUCUCAAUUGGUAUCAGAGCCGUUCUCUUCAAGAAGGGACUAAUCGCCCGAAGAGAUGGAUCCUAAGGGAAAGGGGAUGGUGGUCAACAACAACGAGAAGGAGUCUAUCUUCAACGAGCCAAAGGAUGACAAGCCUACCGACUCGGGCUCCAGCCACAAGCGCAAAGACGGGAAGAAGAAGAAGACAAGGUGCAUCAAGGAGAUCGUCUACUACGACAGCGACGAAUCUUCCUCUUCCCAAAAGGACGACGACGACUACGAGAAAAAGAAAACGGUCAAUUCGAACUUUUCUUUUGAUUACUCUCGUAUUCCUCAAAGUACAAAUGCUCAUUUAUUAUCUAUUCCACUUGGUAAACCUCCUCACUUUGAUGGAGAGGACUACAGAUUUUGGAGUCACAAAAUGUGUAGUCACUUGUUCUCUCUCCAUCCUAGUAUAUGGGAGAUUGUAGAGAGUGGAAUGCACUUUGAUAGUACGGAUAGUCCCUUGUUCAUUAAUGAGCAAAUUCAUAAAAAUGCACAAGAUACUACUGUUCUUCUAGCUUCAUUGUGCAGGGAUGAAUACCACAAAGUGAGCGGCUUGGAUAACGCCAAGCAAAUCUGGGACACCCUCAAGAUCUCUCAUGAGGGGAAUGACGUCACAAUGCUCACCAAGAUGGAGUUGGUGGAGGGCGAACUCGGGAGGUUCGCUAUGAUAAGGGGAGAAGAGCCAACCCAAACGUACAAUCGGCUCAAGACCCUUGUCAACAAGAUAAGAAGCUAUGGAAGCACGCGAUGGACGGACCACGACGUCGUCCGCCUAAUGCUAAGGUCUUUUACUGUCCUUGAUCCUCAUCUUGUAAACAAUAUUUGUGAGAAUCUUAGGUACACCAAGAUGACGCCCGAGGAGAUACUUGGAAAGUUCGUAAGCGGGCGAAUGAUGAUCAAGGAAGCAAGAUACGUGGACGACGCAUUGAAUGGUCCAAUCAAUGAGCCUCAACCUCUUGCUCUCAAGGCAACAAGAAGCAAAGAGACGCUACCUAGCAAGGUGGCACAAAUUGAGGCGGCCGGACUUAAUGAUGAAGAUAUGGCUCUCAUCAUCAAGAGAUUCAAGACGGCGCUAAAAGGUCGCAAGGGGCAGCCAAGCAAGACCAAGACAAAGGGGAAGCGCUCAUGCUUCAAAUGUGGUAAGCUUGGUCAUUUUAUUGUUAAUUGUCCCGACAAUGAUAGUGAUCAGGAUCAAGGGAACAAGAGGGAGAAGAAGAAGAACUAUAAGAAGGCAAAGGGCGAGGCGCAUCUAGGCAAGGAGUGGGAUUCGGAUUGCUCCUCUUCCGACUCUGACAAUGAGGGACUCGCCGCCACCGCCUUCAACAAGUCAUCCCUCUUCCCCAACGAGCGUCACACAUGCCUUAUGGCAAGGGAGAAGAAGGUAUGUACUCGAAACUCUACUUAUGCUUCUUCAAGUGAUGACGAAUCUAGUGAUGAGGAUGAAAUAGACUAUUCAUGUUUAUUUAAGGGCCUAGAUAGAACCAAGGUAGAUAAAAUUAAUGAAUUGAUUGAUGCCUUCAAUGAUAAGAAUAGGCUUUUAGAAAAGCAAGAGGAUUUGUUGUAUGAAGAACAUGACAAAUUUGUAGAAGCACAAAAAUCUCAUGCUCUAGAAGUUAAAAGAAAUGAAAUGCUUUCUUGUGAAUUAUCUUCUUGCCAUGAAACAAUUUCUAACUUAAGGAGCAUUAAUGAUGAUUUGAAUGCUAAGUUAGAAAUAGCUAGUAAAUCAACAUCUUGUGUAGAAAUUGUUGCAACUUGUAAUAGGUGUAAAGAUUUUGACAUUGAUGCUUGUAGUGAACACCAAGUUUCAAUUUCUAAACUUAAUGAUGAAUUGGCUAGUCUUAAUGCUCAACUUAAGACUAGCAAGAGCGAAUUUGAUAAGCUAAAAUUUGCGAGGGAUGCCUACACGAUUGGUAGACACCCAUCAAUUAAGGAUGGACUUGGCUUCAAGAGGGAAGCCAAGAACUUAACAAGCCAUAAGGUUCCCAUCCCCACCAAGGAGAAAGGGAAGGCUCCUAUGGCGAGUAGUACUAAAAAGCACCAUGCUUUUAUGUAUCAUAAUAAGAGACAUUCUAGAAAUGACUAUAGAAGUUAUGAUUCACAUGCUAUGUUUGCUUCUAGUUCUUCUUAUAUGCAUGAUAGAGAUGUAUCUAGGAGAUAUGUUCACCAUGUGCCUAGAAAGAAUAUUGUUCAUGUUUCUAGGAAAAUUAUGGAUGGUCCUUCUACAAUAUAUCAUGCUUUAAAUACUUCCUUUGCUAUUUGUAGAAAGGAUAGGAAGAUAGUUGCUAGGAAAUUAGGGGCAAAAUGCAAAGGUGAUAAAACUUGCAUUUGGGUCCCUAAGACAAUCAUGACUAACCUCGUAGGACCCAACAAGAGUUGGGUACCUAAGUCCCAAGCCUAAAUUUGCCUUGCAGGUUUAUGCAUCCGGGGGUUCAAGCUGGAUUAUCGACAGCGGAUGCACAAACCAUAUGACGGGGGAGAAGAAGAUGUUCACCUCCUACGUCAAGAAUAAGGAUUCCCAAGAUUCAAUCAUAUUUGGUGAUGGGAACCAAGGCAAGGUGAAAGGUUUAGGCAAGAUUGCAAUUUCAAAUGAGCACUCUAUCUCUAAUGUGUUUUUAGUUGAGUCUCUGGGAUAUAAUUUACUAUCUGUUAGUCAAUUAUGCAAUAUGGGAUAUAACUGUCUAUUCACUAAUAUAGAUGUGUCUGUCUUUAGAAGAUGUGAUGGUUCACUAGCUUUUAAGGGUGUACUAGACGGCAAACUUUACUUAGUUGAUUUUGCAAAAGAAGAGGCUGGUCUAGAUGCAUGCUUAAUUGCUAAGACUAGCAUGGGUUGGCUGUGGCAUCGCCGCUUAGCACAUGUGGGGAUGAAGAACCUUCACAAGCUUCUAAAGGGAGAACACGUGAUAGGUUUGACUAACGUGCAAUUCGAAAAAGAUAGACCUUGUGCAGCUUGUCAGGCAGGUAAACAAGUGGGAGGAGCACAUCACAGCAAGAAUGUGAUGACCACAUCAAGACCCCUGGAGCUGCUACAUAUGGACCUCUUCGGACCCGUCGCCUAUCUAAGCAUAGGAGGAAGUAAGUAUGGUCUAGUUAUUGUUGAUGACUUUUCCCGCUUCACUUGGAUAUUCUUUUUAUAGGAUAAGUCUGAAACCCAAGGGACCCUCAAGCGCUUUCUAAGGAGAGCUCAAAACGAGUUUGAGCUCAAGGUGAAGAAGAUAAGGAGCGACAAUGGGUCUGAGUUCAAGAACCUUCAAGUGGAGGAGUUCCUUGAGGAGGAAGGGAUCAAGCACGAGUUCUCCGCUCCCUACACACCACAGCAAAAUGGUGUGGUAGAGAGGAAGAACAGGACGCUAAUCGAUAUGGCAAUAACGAUGCUUGGAGAGUUCAAGACUCCCGAGCGUUUUUGGUCGGAAGCAGUGAACACGGCUUGCCACGCCAUCAACCGGGUCUACCUUCAUCGCCUCCUCAAGAAGACAUCGUAUGAGCUUCUAACCGGUAACAAACCCAAUGUAUCUUACUUUCGUGUAUUUGGGAGCAAAUGCUACAUUCUAGUGAAGAAGGGUAGAAAUUCUAAGUUUGCUCCCAAAGCUGUAGAAGGGUUUUUGUUAGGUUAUGACUCAAAUACAAAGACGUAUAGGGUCUUCAACAAAUCAUCAGGUUUGGUUGAAGUCUCUAGCGACGUUGUAUUUGAUGAGACUAAUGGCUCUCCAAGAGAGCAAGUUGUUGAUCUUGAUGAUGUAGAUGAAGAAGAUGUUCCGACGGCCGCUAUACGAACCAUGGUGAUUGGUGAUGUACAACCAUAGGAACAAAAGGAGCAGGAUCAACCUUCUUCCUCAACUAUGGUGCAUCCCCCAACUCAAGACGAUGAACAGGUUCAUCAACAGGAGGCGUAUGAUCAAGGGGGAGCACAAGAUGAUCAUGUGAUGGAGGAAGAAACUCAACCGGCACCUCCAACCCAAGUUCGAGCGAUGAUUCAAAGGGAUCAUCCCGUCGAUCAAAUUCUGGGUGAUAUUAGCAAGGGAGUAAGUACUCGAUCUCGUUUAGUUAGUUUUUGUGAGCAUUACUCCUUUGUCUCUUCUAUUGAGCCUUUCAGGGUAGAAGAGGCCAUGCUAGAUCCGGACUGGGUGUUGGCCAUGCAAGCGGAGCUCAACAAUUUCAAGAGAAAUGAAGUUUGGACGCUGGUGCCUCGUCCUAAGCAAAAUGUUGUGGGAACCAAGUGGGUGUUCCGCAACAAACAAGACGAGCACGGAGUGGUGACGAGAAACAAGGCUCGACUUGUGGCAAAAGGUUAUGCCCAAGUCGCAGGUUUGGACUUUGAGGAGACUUUUGCUCCUAUGGCUAGGCUAGAGUCCAUUCGUAUUUUGCUAGCAUAUGCCGCUCACCAUUCUUUCAGGUUGUUCCAAAUGGAUGUGAAGAGCGUGUUCCUCAAUGGGCCAAUCAAGGAGGAGGUGUACGUAGAGCAACCCCCUGGCUUUGAGGAUGAACGUUACCCCGACCACCUGUGUAAGCUCUCUAAGGCGCUCUAUGGACUUAAGCAAGCCCCAAGAGCAUGGUAUGAAUGCCUUAGAGACUUUCUAAUUGCUAAUGCUUUCAAGGUUGGGAAAGCCGAUCCAACUCUGUUCACUAAGACUUGUGACAGUGAUCUUUUGUAUGCCAAAUUUAUGUCGAUGACAUAAUAUUUGGUUCUACUAAUAAAAAGUCUUGUGAAGAGUUUAGCAGGGUAAUGACGCAGAAAUUCGAGAUGUCGAUGAUCGGCGAGUUGAACUACUUCCUUGGGUUCCAAGUGAAGCAACUCAAGGAUGGCACCUUCAUCUCUCAAACGAAGUACACGCAAGACUUGCUGAAGCGGUUUGGGAUGAAGGACGCCAAGCCCGCAAAGACUCCGAUGGGGACCGACGAACACACCGACCUCAACAAAGGAGGUAAGUCCGUUGAUCAAAAGGCAUACCGGUCAAUGAUAGGGUCGUUACUUUACUUAUGUGCUAGUAGACCGGAUAUUAUGCUUAGCGUAUGCAUGUGUGCUAGAUUUCAAUCCGAUCCUAAGGAGUGUCACUUAGUGGCAGUGAAGCGAAUCCUUAGAUAUUUAGUUGCUACGCCUUGCUUCGGGCUCUGGUAUCCAAAGGGGUCUACCUUUGACUUGAUUGGAUAUUCAGAUUCCGACUAUGCUGGAUGUAAGGUCGAUAGGAAGAGUACAUCGGGGACGUGCUAAUUCUUAGGAAGGUCCCUGGUGUCAUGGAACUCUAAGAAACAAACUUCUGUUGCCCUAUCCACCGCUGAGGCCGAGUACGUUGCCGCAGGACAGUGUUGCGCGCAACUACUUUGGAUGAGGCAAACCCUCAGGGACUUUGGCUACAAUCUGACCAAAGUCCCACUCCUAUGUGAUAAUGAGAGUGCUAUCCGCAUGGCGGAAAAUCCUGUUGAACACAGCCGCACAAAGCACAUAGACAUCCGGCAUCACUUUUUGAGAGACCACCAGCAAAAGGGAGAUAUCGAAGUGUUUCAUGUUAACACCGAGAACCAGCUAGCCGAUAUCUUUACAAAGCCUCUAGAUGAGAAGACCUUUUGCAGGUUGCGUAGUGAGCUAAAUGUCCUAGAUUCGCGGAACUUGGAUUGAUUUACAGCAUACAUGUGUUUAUGCCUUUGAUCAUGUUCCCUAUGCAUUUCGUUGCUUACUUAUGGUGCUCAAGUUGUACAAACACUCCCCGGACCUUUGAGACUAACCAUGUGCUUGAGUUUGCUUAUUUUAGUCUCAAAGGGGGAGCUGUGCUACAACUUGACCCUUUGAGACUAACCAUGUGCUUGAGUUUGCUUAUUUUAGUCUCAAAGGAGGUUUGAAAGGGAAAAGGUGGACUUGGACCAUGAAAGACUUCCACUGCACUCCGAUGAGAGGGUAACUUAUUCCAAGUUCAUCUCAUGUACUCUUAUUGCCUUUGUAUUCUUAUUGAAGAUUUUGGUGAGGCAAUGGGGUUUAAGGGCCAAGAUUGAUCCCGUUUUGGUGCUUGAUGCCAAAGGGGAGAAAAUAAAGGCCAAAGCAAUAAAUGGAUCAACUACCACUUGAGAAUUUUGAAAAAGUAGAGUUAGAGUUUUUGUUUGUCAAAAUACUCUUGUUUGUCUCUUAUUCUCAAAAGUUGGCCUCUUGUGGGGAGAAGUGUUGAUUAUGGGAAAAAGGGGAGAAAAAGUAGAGUUAGAGUUUUUGUUUGUCAAAAUACUCUUGUUUGUCUCUUAUUCUCAAAAGUUGGCCUCUUGUGGGGAGAAGUGUUGAUUAUGGGAAAAGGGGAGUUUUUGAAAUCCUUGAUCAAUUUUUUGGAAUACCUCUCUUUAUGUCUUUACAAGUGUGUUUGACUUAGAGAUAGGAAUUUAAAGUUGAUUUGCAAAAACAAACCAAGUGGUGGCAAAGAAUGAUCCACAUAUGCCAAAUCUGAUUCAAAACAAAUUUGAGUUUUAUUUGAAGUGAUUUUGGACUUGUUCUACUUGCUUUAUGUUAUGUUAGCAUAAAUCACCAAAAAGGGGGAGAUUGAAAGGGAAAUGUGUCCUUGGGCCAUUUCUAAGUAUUUUGGUGAUUUAGUGUCCAACACAAGUGCCUAAGUAUAAAAUGGUGAACAAAGUACAAAUCAAGGAUAAAGGUAUGUUUCUCAGACUUAGUACAUUGUUUUAGAGACUAAUGUAUAGUGUCUAAGUGCUGGAACCAGGAAAAAUCGAAUUGGAAAUGAGAUGGCUUUGUUCAGCCAAAGUCUGCUCAGUCUGGGAGCACCGGACUGUCCGGUGGUGCACCGGACAGUGUCUGGUGCGCCAGGCUGGCUCGAGUGAACUGGCCGCUCUCGGGAAUUCACCGGCGACGUAUGGCUAUAAUUCACCGGACUGUCCGGUGUGCACCGGACUGUCCGGUGAGCCAACGGUCGGUCGGGCCAACGGUCGGCCGCGCGAUCUGCGCGGGACACGUGGCCGAGCCAACGGCUAGAAGGGGGCACCAGACAUGUCCGGUGCGCCAACGGCUCUCUGGCUGCCAACGGUCGGCUGCGCCAGUUAAGGAAAGAAAUCGGGCACCGAACAGUGUCCGGUGUGCACCGGACUGUCCGGUGCGCCACGCGACAGAAGGCAAGAAUUGCCUUCCCAGAUUGCUCUCAACGGCUCCUAGCUGCCUUGGGGCUAUAAAAGGGACCCCUAGGCGCAUGGAGGAGCACACCAAGCAUUCUAAAAGCAUUCCUAAGCACUAAGACAUCGAUUACGCGCCUUUGAUUCUUUGCGAUAGCAAUUAGAGCUCUAGUUGAGUUGUGAACUCAUUGAGUUGUGUUGUGAGCUCUUGUUGCGACUUGUGUGCGUAGCGUUGCUGUGAUUUCUUGUCUUGAGUGUGUUGCUUAUCCCUCCCUUACUCCGUGCUUCUUUGUGAACUUCAAGUGUAAGGGCGAGAGGCUCCAAAGUGUGGAGAUUCCUCGCAAACGGGAUAUAGUAAAGCAAGCAAAACACCGUGGUAUUCAAGUGGGUCUUUGGACCGCUUGAGAGGGGUUGAUUGCAACCCUCGUCCGUUGGGACGCCACAACGUGGAGUAGGCAAGCGUUGGUCUUGGCCGAACCACGGGAUAACCACCGUGCCAUCUCUGUGAUUGAUAUCUUUGUGGUUAUUGUGUUUUGUUGAGACUCCUCUCUAGCCACUUGGUGAUUAUUGUGCUAACACUUAACCAAGUUUUGUGGCUUAAGUUUUAAGUUUUACAGGAUCACCUAUUCACCCCCCUCUAGGUGCUCUCAGAAGGUAGGAACCAUAAGAAGAGCAGCACCAGUCUAAGUGGUUUAUGGCAGCAUUUCGCUUGAAAUGAGGGAAGAAGUUAUUGAACCUGUUGUUGAGCCUGAGCCUGAGCCCGAGCCCGAGCCGCAUGACAACGAUGCACCAUGAAUAGGAAAAGCACAAAGACAUCAGUUCUGAUAGGAAGAUGAAAUGGAGGGCAGGGCACUGCUUAUAAUGUUCUAGAGGUAGUCAGAAUUUAGAAAUAAUGGGAAGCCCCGUACUUGUUACGUGGAUAAUAUUGUCUAAAUUUAAACCAACAAUAGAUCUGUACUCUGUAGUAGGAUUGAAUUGUCGGAUAUGUACAUGUCAUCAUUCUUCUAUUUUCGUGAAACGUGUCACUUCCUGAUCUCUUUACUCCGCAAAUGCGCAAGAACAAUAUGCAUACUAAAUACUUUGGCUGACACACCAUAUGCUCGUUCCUUGCUUUCGAUCAGCUCAGGAGUAACGCACCUAAUUAUAUAUAUGUUUAAGAGAUCCUGAAUAAUUAUUUUCGAACGAUGAAAAGAGACUGCAUGGAAAUUUUCCUAUUACUAAGCUGACCUAUGUAAGUUUCUGCAUCACCAAGUAACAAAUAAAUCUAUCGCUUAUGCGCAUCGAUUUCUGCUUAGCUAGAGCCACAAGCUGAUGAACUACACAAUCUGGGAUUUCUCUGCCAGGAUUUUUUUGCCUGUAAGAUUUCGAAGCACUUCUUCGAGCUCAAUAUUAUUGCAAACCACCUUUUACUUACAGGUUUUAAGGGAGAAUAUACAUAACGGACAACUGCUUAAGGGGGAGUGUUAUGAAAGAUAAGCAGUUGCUUAUUGCUCCCAGCCGUGGACUCCAAGGGAUGUGCCCCUUGCAUGUUCUCUUCAUGGUGACGGGUGUGACCCCACAAAGGAACAGACAACACAUGGUCUGCAUGGCUUCAAGGGACGUGCCCCUAGCACGUUCGCACAUAUGCUUUCUCUGGUGUAUGGGCGAAGGGUCACAUCCUAUCGGACAUUUCAAUUUCUGGAAUAUUAUUUUGAGUAUUCAGAUCUAAAUCCAAAGUUCUGAUUUUUUUACUGUUUAUAGGCGCAAGCUUGUCGAGCUCAUUGACAAGCUUGAUGAAGGUACAAUAAAUUGGACAUAGUUUGCAAGUGAGGUGAAGAUGCACCAUGGAAACAGGCUUGGAGGUCCGUAUCAGAGGUUGUCUAGUCGAAGUCUGAGGCAUGAGGCGUAUUUUUAUGCAAAUCCUCUUCCAGGGUGCUUGUGCAGAAGAAACACAUAGGAUCAAGUGGCAUGAACCUUACAUACGAAUAGACAGUUAUCAUACAUCGAGCUUUCCUCCAACUCAUUGACAUACACCAAACAGUGAAAAUCCGAGUAGACUGACAGCAAAAGGACAUGUUUUUUUCUUCCUAUAAACAGAUAAAAUUUAUGUAGUUUUCCAUCUUACACGAGGAUACAGGAGGGAACACUCACUGAAAUGUGCAUUUUCAAGGGAUUGUUUAUUCAGGUUUUAAAAUAGAACAUGCAAAGAUAUUCAAAGAGGAUAUGUGUUGUACCACAGAUUAUAGAAUUAGCAGAUUUGAUGAGUUUUUAGUGUAUGUUUGUAUUUACUCCAUAGUCCACAUGUAGAGCCUCUCAUGUGGGAGAUUCUUGUGGGAGCCUCUGUCACUUGGUUUGUCCUCCAGAUGUACAGCCUUAAAUCUAAAAUUUAACUUUAUUCAUUUUAUUAUGCACAAUAAUCAUUAGUUG